GAGUAGUAAACAUGGCGGUGGGGGCGCUGCGCUCUCCUCCGGGGUGAAGCUCGCUGCGGUCCCUGCUCCUCAGUGCGGCGGCGAUGUCGGAGCCGGGGCACCUGGGGGUGAAGCGGGCCGAGUCGGCGCGGCUGCGGCGGGCCGAGCAGCUGCGGCGCUGGAAGGGUUCGCUGACCGAGCUGGAGCCGGUGGCGCCGGUGGGCGCCCGGGGCCGGCACCGCGGCGGGGGGGUCCCCCGCGUCCGCUUCGAAGAGGGCGCCGUGUUCCUGGCCGCCUGCUCCAGCGGGGACGCCGAGGAGGUGAAGCGCCUGCUGGCCCGCGGCGCCCGCAUCAACACGGCCAACGUGGACGGGCUGACAGCGCUGCACCAGGCCUGUAUAGACGAGAACCUGGACAUGGUGAAGUUCCUGGUAGAAAAUGGAGCCAGUGUAAACCAGCAGGAUAAUGAGGGCUGGACCCCCCUUCAUGCUGUGGCAUCCUGUGGCUAUCUGAACAUAGCAGAAUACUUGCUCAGCCAUGGAGCCAACGUGGCUGCUGUGAACAGUGAAGGUGAAGUCCCAUCUGACCUUGCAGAGGAAGCAGCCAUGAAGGACCUGCUUCUGGAACAAGUAAAGAAACAAGGGGUGGACCUGGACUUGGCAAGGAAAGAGGAAGAGCAACAGAUGCUGCAGGAUGCACGGCAGUGGCUGAACAGUGGGAAGCUUGAGGAUAUAAAGCAACCUCGGUCAGGUGCUACUGCUCUGCAUGUAGCUGCAGCCAAGGGCUACUCUGAAGUCAUGAGGCUCUUGAUCCAAGCUGGGUUUAAUUUGAAUGUCCAGGACAACGAUGGCUGGACUCCACUCCAUGCUGCUGCUCACUGGGGAGUGAAAGAAGCUUGCACUAUCUUGGCUGAAGCGCUCUGUGACAUGGACAUCAGGAACAAGCUGGGCCAGACACCAUUUGAUGUGGCUGAUGAGGGACUGGUUGAGCACUUGGAGAUGCUGCAGAAAAAACAGAAUGUGCUGCGCAGUGAGAAGGAGACGAGAAACAAGCUAAUUGAAGCUGACAUGAAUGGGAAACUGCAAAGUGGACUCUUCAAAAACAAAGAGAAGAUUCUUUAUGAAGAAGAUACUCUGAAGUCCCGGGAACCAGAAGAGGAGAACAAGGAAUCGAGCAGUUCCAGCUCUGAGGAAGAGGAGGAAGCCGAAGAGGAUGAGGCUUCAGAAUCAGAUGCUGAAAAGGAGGCAGAGAGAAAGAAAGAGUCCUUUGCCAACCAUUCUGGUCAUGAACCCAGGACUAGCGUCACUGAGCAAAUACCACCACCAGAGCAUAACUCCUUCACUGCAGCUCCUGCCAGAAAAUUCACCAGUUUGCUCAACAAAUCAGAGGAGCAAAAGGAUGAAUCUCCCUCAUCUUGGAGGCUUGGUCUACGGAAAACUGGCAGCCACAAUAUGCUAAGCGAAGCUGCUUCCCGGGAGGCACUGAAAGAGAGAGGUUCCUCCAUCUACCGCUCUUCAUCGAGUCCCCGGAUUUCUGCAUUCUUAGACAACAAAGAAAAGGAUAAAGAUAGCAAAAACUACUUUGCCCCCAUAGCCCCUAGAAGACUAAGCAGUACGGGUGACAUAGAAGAAAAGGAAAACAGAGAAUCUGCUGUUAACCUGGUGAGGAGUGGCUCCUACAACCGGCAGCCAUGGAGGGAUGAGCCAAAGGGAAACGAAGCCCCCCAGACUGGUGCACCUUCCACCUACGUAUCUACCUACCUGAAAAGUGCUUCAUUUGGUAGAAGUAGUGACCUCAACAGUCCCUACAUUUCAGCCAAUCGUAAUACAUCUGCUACCUCACCCACUACCAUUGGUUCAUCUACCUCAUUGGGCACCCAGUGGCAACCUGCCUCUUCCUGUCCUACAUCUCUUAGUGCGAACACUACUGCAUCAAUCCGCCAGUAUACCAGAGCCCCAUACCGGCAACAAACUGACUCUACUGUAGAGAAAAAUACAGAGAACAUCUCUGCUAGCACUCCACUAGGUGUAAUCACAAAUCGCACUGUACUCAGCACUGCCAACGGUGUUACAUCUGCCAGUGCCACGUCAACUACUGGAACGGACUCCUCAAAUGGAGAAGCCAGGGAGCGAAGAAGGUCGUAUCUGACUCCUGUGCGAGAUGAGGAAGCAGAGUCACUAAGGAAGGCCCGAUCCAGACAGGCCCGCCAGACUCGUAGGUCUACACAGGGUGUAACACUCACAGACCUUCAGGAGGCAGAACGAACUUUCAGCCGGUCUCGAGUGGAGCGGCAAGCUCAGGAACAACAAAGUGAGAAACCUGAGAGCACUGAGGACAGCAGUGAGAGACGGGAGGAGACCCGGCCCUGGUGGAAUAGAAACCAGGAUGAGGAGUCUGUCUAUCGGCGAUUAAGGUGUCCAACACAAACAGACAAACCCACCACACCAGUAUCUCCCUCUACGUCAGCCCCUUCUCUUUACACAAGUUCUCACCUGGCCCAGACAAGCAGAUCUCUGGGCCCUGACUCUGUGAACCCAGCAGACUUCCAAAGCACAGCCACUGAAAUGGAGAAAAAUGAGUGUGAAGAUCAGGAUUUAGAUGAUAGAUCUCCAAACAAGCAGUCAAUCCGAGAGAGGCGGCGGCCAAAGGAGAGGCGAAGAGGCACUGGAAUUUCUUUCUGGGCAAAAGAUGAUGACGAGGUUGAUGGGAAUGAUGAAGUGAAGGAGUCUCGGCAUGAAAGACUUUCCAGGCUGGAAUCAGCAGGUACAAGCCCUACCACCAGCGACUCGCACAGCGAUCGCGCCUCCAGCCGCUCCAGCGCUUACACCAGAAGAGAGAACCGCCUGGCUUCCCUCAGCAGUAGAACAGAGGAGGAGACUAACAGGGACUAUAAAAAACUCUAUGAGGACGCGCUUUCCGAAAACCAAAAGCUGAAAUCAAAACUGCAGGAAGCCCAGCUGGAGCUGGCUGAUAUCAAGUCAAAACUGGAAAAAGCAGCCCAGCAGAAACAGGAAAAAACCUCUGACCGAUCGAGUAUGCUGGAAAUGGAGAAAAGGGGGAAACGAGCCCUCGAGCGGAGACUUUCUGAAAUGGAGGAGGAGAUGAAGGUUUUGACAGAGCUGAAGUCAGACAAUCAGAGGCUGAAAGAUGAAAAUGGAGCACUCAUCCGUGUCAUCAGCAAACUCUCCAAGUAGGACGUCGGAGGGAAGGAAGAAAGGAGGGGGCUUCUGUGCACAAGCUGCCAACCCUGCCACCCAGCCCCCAACCGCCUCUUGCCCUCCAAUCAAAAGUACAGCAAGCCUUUCAGCCGUGGGAACAAUGCGCCUCGCACUCCCCUGUCCCGUCCCCUCAUUGUACAUUCCCUUAGCACCCCUCUGAAUGCACCCCUCAGCCAUUUUAUUAUUUUAAUUUAAGCAUGUCGUGGUAUCUUGGACAUUUUAUUCAAGGGGAAAAGAAACAUGAGAACUGGGUUUGAGCUGCCAAAACUUCCUGCCACAAACCCAGCCUUGUCCACAUUGGACUCCAGUCUGGAGCAGAGAAGCUUCUACUGUAAUAAGCAAUACAGAAAUGACUCUGUCAAAGUGAUCCGACGGGUCCAGAACCUUUGUAGCUGGAGCUGGGGGGACAUGAGCGGGAGCUGUACACUGAGGAUGUACGUCAGCUGCCCACUUGGCGUUGGGGGUCCGGUUACAAUGUGAUGCUGUGAAAGCCACGAGGACUCGUUUCUGUGUCAGACUGUGACGACAGCUGCUUUGCACGGAGGCUCUGUUCUCCUAUCGUCCCAGUAGCUGACUCUCUAUUUAAUGUACGAUUUUAAAUGUUUGCUAUCUUCAUUUCUGAAUCCCAGUUUCAGACCCUCCCUCCCCCCUUUUGCCCAUGCUUUGUUUCUGCAGCCCAGGCGAUCGUGGGUCACUCUGUACUCCUUCCACAGUUGCUAUCUCAGUUACUAUCCAGGUAAUAGCAUCUGCUAAUUGCAUCUGGGCUCUUUCCUCUUGUAAUAAGAUUCAUCACUGAUAUUGGCUGGGGUCUCUGAUGAAGGAGAAACUGAAGCAGCAGAGGUCACCUGCUGCUCUCGUAUGCACAUGUAACAAAUCUGGGUGUGAAUAUCCAUGCAGGGAGGUACGCAUGCACAAGUAACCAACCCCCAUCUUCUUCCAGUAGCAACAGGACGAGCAUUUGUCUGUUAGUGUUACUUGCAGGAUAGCACCCUGCAAAGUACUCGGAGCAGAUGUCUGGUGUGCUUGUUUUAAUUUCCAACAAGAGCAAAAACAAAUGAAAAUACAGGUGUAUUUUGAGUUGGCUUUAUAGGGGGUGAGGGUGGAGAGGCCGUAUUUGGCUACAAAAAGGAUAGUCCAGCCUUUGAUGGCAAAUCCUGACACAGCUAAUACAGCAAGAUUGAGAAACCUUAAGCAGUGAUCAGUUGCCAGCUCCAUUUCAUUAGAGG